CUAGUCGCAGGCUGUGAUUGGUCAUCAGCUAAUUGGCGGUUCUCUAUAAGAGCUCCCAGAGCUGGGGCUUAACUGAAGCUAACUCUCCUCCAGGCUUCAGUUACACGUAUGUUGUAACAUUGAGAAGAGAGUGAUUCAGCAACAUGUGAUAAAAAGUUAUCAGUGCCGCCGAGUGACCAGGCCAGUGCUAGGCAGGGAAGCCAGUCGCGGCUGAUUGGAUUAAUCUCUGGCUUUUAGGGACUGGAAUGAAACGCUGAUAGCUUCUUACUUUGGAGGACUUCUGUGGAGGGGGGGCGGGGAGUUCCUAAGGAUCUGAAACAAAGCUUUUUAUCUCCUGGUGAAGAUUGAUCUAGUGGGGAAGAGAGAGUUUCUAGCUAACGGAAGCUGCAGCAUUGUCCCCAGGAAAUAAUGCUUUAUCCAGAAUGGUUUGGAAGAGCCAACAAAUACCAGAACUGGAGUCCAUAUCAGAGUCUGCCAUCAGCCAAGCCCAGCCAGAACCCAGCCCAACAACAAGUCAACUCAGAAGCAAUAUAUUUUGCAGCAAGUAUGCAACUUAUCCAAUAGAUAUGCUGUCUUUGGAAGUAAAUGACGUGGUUAGGUGGUUGAAGCUACUACUUUUGGUUUGAGCCCAUUUCCCCCAGUAAUUGAAGGCUUAAGGGGAAAGGAUGUCCUGGUACAGGGUGAUGUUUUUAAAUUCUUUUAUUCUUGCUAUAUGUUUUCAAUAAAUAUCUCUCUGUAAAAGUUGAUUAAUGAGAUUUAUAGGAAGAUGGCAGUAUACUAGGACACAGAAAAGUCCAGAUUCCCCCAGAUCCUCAAUUGGGGUUUUAAUGUGUACUUUGCAAAGAAACAAAAGAAUCACCUCUAGGUUUCCAAUCCCAGAAUCAAGAGGGAACCAUGAGAUCUUUCAAAGACUUUGUGAUAGACAAGCCAGGAUAAGUGGAAGGUAGAACAAUGAUUAUAGAGUGCAGGUAGCCUCUGGAGACUUCAAGAGAAUCCAGCCCUUCCUGCCUGAACUCAAGUCUCACCCUAGCCUUCACCAAAGACGUUGGCUAUAAGAUUCUAGCUAGAGAGAUACGGCUCAACUUGUUCCCAGUGAGUCUAAUGAAACACUAGUGGUUCAAGCUCAUCUGUUCAAGAAAGGUAUAGGUAAAUAGCCCAAAUAGUCCAUGCAGACUGGGGAAGGAACCCUGUCAGCACUGGGGGUUAGGAGAUUUGAAGUACUCUAGUGAGAGCUUUUAAUAGGGAGAGUUGGUACAGCCCAGUUACAAAGUAUGCCUGAGGCACUCUGGCAUUUCAGUUAGGGAAGGUUCCAGAUUCUAAGGCUAUGAAAGAAGCCCACCAAUAGAUAACUGGUCAAAGGACAUAAACAGGCAGUACUCAAGGGAAGAAAUCUAAGCAAUCAACAAGUACACAAAAUGUUCCAAGUCUUUGAUAAUUCAAGAAAUACAAAUUAAAAACUUUGAGGUUCUACCUUAUAGCUAUCAUUGAUAAAGAUGAUUACAAACUGACAGAGGCUAGAGGGGCUAUGUAGAAAGUCAGGCUAAUGCACUCUUAGUGGAACUAUGAAUUGAUACAACUUACAUAAUUUAAAAACAAUUUGGAAUGUGCCCCCAUAGUUAUGAAACUGUAACUACUUUUUGAUUUAGCAAUAACACUACUAGACUUUUAGCCUAAAGAGAUAAAGAAAGUGUAAAAGGAUCCAUAUAUACCAAAUUAUUGUAGUGACUCUUUUUUUGUGGCAAAGGACUAGAAACAAAAAGGUUACUCAUCAUUUAGGUAAUGACUGACCAGAUCAUGGCCUGCAUAUAAUGGAAAAGUAGUAUUCCAUAGUAGAUGAUGAAAAGGGAUGGCUUCCCAGAAACCUGUAUAGACUUGACAGACUCAUGCAAAGUGAAAUAAAAAGAUUCAAGAGAAUAAUUUAUACAAUAGCAACUAUAACUCUUGGGAAAUGCAGCAACCAAUCAUGAUUCCAGAUAAUUGAUUGUGAAGCAUGCACUGACCUUCUAAAAGAGAGGUGAUGGACUCAAAAAUGAGGCAUCCAUUUUCAUGUAAGUUCAAUGGGGGGAAUUUUUUUACUUGACUAUGAACAUAUUUAACAAAGGUUAAUUUUUUUCAAUGAGGGUGGAGAGGUAAGAAAAGAGAGAGACUAGUGAUAAAGCUGUUUUAAAAAGAGAGAAAGGAAGGAAGAAAGAAAAGGGAAGGAGGGAAGAAGGGAGGUCAGUUGUUAAAGCAUUUUUAAAUGAACAAAAGACAAAUGAGAAGUAAAAAGUAAAAAACCAAGACAAAUAAGAAAGCUUUGAAAGUUACAUGCUGAGCUUAUGGAAGAUAAAAGGGGAUCUAUCAGCACAAGAUCUCAAACAGUACUAGAAUUCACGAAACACUAAAACAAUUUGGCACUGGCUAAAAAACAGAGGUCAAAGAUUUAAAAGAAAAAGCAAAUUUGAAGUAAUAGAGAUUUUCCAUUUCGUGUUCCAUCCUUUUUCUGUUCUACCUUUAAUAGAGAAAUACUCGUUUUGUUUAGUUUUUAUUAAGUUCCAGUAAAAACAAUACAAAGGGAAACAACUUAAAAAACUAAAGAACUCUGAUCCAUUUCAUAACAAAUCUUGACUUAGGAAGACUGAUACUUCUUACCACUUGGCAGAGAAGUGAUAGACUAGAUCCACAGAAUGAGGCACAUUUUCAAUUAUGGCCAAUGUGAACAUUUGUCUUACUGCACUAUUUUAUAUUUACAAAGGACGGUUUUUGUUUUGGAGGAUGUGGGUUGUUCAAAUAAGAGAGGAUACUGAUAAUAAUCCAUAUAAAAGAAGAAAAAGUACACAUUAAGAGCAAAAGGGAGUUCAGAAAAGGAUACAGAUACAAACACAGAUUCAGAAAAGGAGAUGGGGAAUUUUUCUUAGUAUUUGGUUACAUUUAAUAUGCAUUUUGAAAAAUAUUUUAAUAGAAGUUUCUCAUUUCAAUAUAGAAAAAAAGAGGGCUAAUUUGGUAGUUCAAGUAGAAUGUCACCUGGAGGUUUCUUGUGAUUCUGCAUUUAGCUAAUUAAAUUACUUUCUUUGAUAAUUAAGCUAGUGACCAUUAUCUAUGUGGAUUAUGGAGAUAUCAUUCCCCCUAACUGUGGAUAUAAGAUCUAAGCUAUACUCUGGGCCCUCUUUUUUUUCCUUUAUGCUCUUUUUUUUUAGACAUUAUUUUAUUUGGUCAUUUUCAUACAUUGUUCAUUGGAAACAGAUCAUUUUCUUUUCCUCCCCCCAACCCCCCCUUCCCUAGCCUACCAUGCGAUUCCUCUGGGUAUCACAUGUGUCCUUGCUCUGAACCCAUUUCCUUGUUGUUGGUAUUUGCAUUAGUGUGCUCAUUUAGCAUCUCUCCUCUAUCAUGUCCCCUCAACCUCUGUAGUCAAGCAGUUGCUUUUCCUCGGUGUUUUUACUCCCUCAGUUUGUCCUCUGCGUGAGGAUAGUUUUUUUUUUUUUUUUCGUAGAUCACUGCAGGUUGUUCAGGGACAUUGUAAAGCCAUUACUGGAGAAGUCCAUUAUGUUCUCUUGUACCACAGUGUAUCAGUCUCUGUGUAUAAUGUUUUCCUGGUUCUGCUCCUCUCACUCUGCAUCACUUCCUGGAGGUUGUUCCAGUCUCCAUGGAAUUCCUCCACUUUAUUAUUCCUUUUAGCACAGUAGUAUUCCAUCACCAACAUAUACCACAAUUUGUUCAGCCAUUCCCCAAUUGAAGGGCAUCCCCUCAUUUUCGAAUUUUUUGCCACUACAAAGAGCGCAGCUAUGAAUAUUCUUGCACAAGUCUUUUUCCUUAUUAUCUCUUUGGGGUACAAACCCAGCAGUGCUAAGGCUGGAUCAAGGGGAGACAAUCUUUACUCGCCCUUUGGACAUAGUUCCAAAUUGCCCUCCACAGUGGUUGGAUCAAUUCAAAACUCCACCAGCAAUGAAUUAGUGUCCCUACUUUGCCACAUCCCCUCCAGCAUUCAUUAAUUUCCUUUGCUGUCAUGUUGAACAAUCUGCUAGGUGUGAGGUGAUACCUCAGAGUUGUUUUGAUUUGAAUCUCUCUGAUUAUAAGAGACCUAGAACACUUUUUCAUGUGCUUAUUAAUAGUCUUGAUUUCUUUAACUGAAAAUUGCCUAUUCAUGUCCCUUGCCCAUUUUUCAAUUAGAGAAUGGCUUGAUUUUUUGUACAACUGGUUUAGCUCUUUAU